CAGCCGCCGCGGUAAAACGAAGGUCCCGAGCGUUGUUCGGAAUCACUGGGCGUAAAGGGAGCGUAGGCGGCGUGGUAAGUCAGAUGUGAAAUCCCGGGGCUCAACCCCGGAACUGCAUCCGAUACUGCCAUGCUAGAGGAUUGGAGAGGUAGCUGGAAUUCUUGGUGUAGCAGUGAAAUGCGUGGAGAUCAAGAGGAACACUCGUGGCGAAAGCGAGCUACUGGACAAUAACUGACGCUGAGGCUCGAAGGCCAGGGUAGCGAAAGGGAUUAGAUACCCCGGUAGUCCCUGUCUCUUAUAC
rnacentral:rRNA from 1 species